AUUGAACGCUGGCGGCAUGCUUUACACAUGCAAGUCGAACGGCAGCGCGGGCUUCGGCCUGGCGGCGAGUGGCGAACGGGUGAGUAAUGCAUCGGAACGUGCCCAGUAGUGGGGGAUAGCCCGGCGAAAGCCGGAUUAAUACCGCAUACGACCUGAGGGUGAAAGCGGGGGACCGAAAGGCCUCGCGCUAUUUGAGCGGCCGAUGUCGGAUUAGCUAGUUGGUGGGGUAAAGGCUUACCAAGGCGACGAUCCGUAGCUGGUCUGAGAGGACGACCAGCCACACUGGGACUGAGACACGGCCCAGACUCCUACGGGAGGCAGCAGUGGGGAAUUUUGGACAAAGGGGGCAACCCUGAUCCAGCCAUGCCGCGUGCGGGAAGAAGGCCUUCGGGUUGUAAACCGCUUUUGUUCGGGAAGAAAUCCUCUGGGCUAAUACCCCGGGGGGAUGACGGUACCGGAAGAAUAAGCACCGGCUAACUACGUG
rnacentral:rRNA from 1 species